CCUACGGGUGGCAGCAGUGAGGAAUAUUGGUCAAUGGACGAGAGUCUGAACCAGCCAAGUAGCGUGAAGGAUGACUGCCCUAUGGGUUGUAAACUUCUUUUAUAAAGGAAUAAAACGAGGCACGUGUGCCUUUUUGCAUGUACUUUAUGAAUAAGGAUCGGCUAACUCCGUGCCAGCAGCCGCGGUAAUACGGAGGAUCCGAGCGUUAUCCGGAUUUAUUGGGUUUAAAGGUAGCGUAGAUGGGUUGUUAAGUCAGUUGUGAAAGUUUGCGGGUCAACCGUAAAAUUGCAAUUGAGACUGGAAGUCUUGAGUACAGUUGAGGUAGGCGGAAUGCGUGGUGUAGCGGUGAAAUGCUUAGAUAUCACGAAGAACCCCGAUUGCGAAGGCAGCUUACUAAACUGUGACUGACAUUGAUGCUCGAAAGUGUGGGUAUCAAACAGGAUUAGAUACCCCGGUAGUC
rnacentral:rRNA from 1 species